AGAACUUGAGAUCCUUAGAAAAAUUGUAAAUCUUAUUUCUUCUUCCGAACACGGACACAUUAGUCUGAAAAACAAGUGACCAAAAACAGCCAAUAAUUGAAACCCUUGAAAAAAAACACGUGUGAGAAACUGAGAGUACGUUAUUGCUAAAAUUAUAAGGAGGCGUGUGAGUAUCUCUUCUUCAGAACAAACAUGAAAACUGAUAAGCUCAUGCCACAUUUUUGAAGAAAAAAAAACAAAAACCAGCGA
rnacentral:lncRNA from 1 species